UACGAAGGGGGCUAGCGUUGCUCGGAAUCACUGGGCGUAAAGGGCGCGUAGGCGGCCUGUUAAGUCGAACGUGAAAUCCCCGGGCUCAACCCGGGAACUGCGUCCGAUACUGGCAGGCUUGAAUCCGGGAGAGGGAUGCGGAAUUCCAGGUGUAGCUGGUGAAAUGCGUAGAUAUCUGGAGGAACACCGGUGGCGAAGGCGGCAUCCUGGACCGGCAUUGACGCUGAGGCGCGAAAGCGUGGGGAGCAAACAGGG
rnacentral:rRNA from 1 species